GGGGUAACGGCCCACCAAGGCGACGAUGGGUAGGGGUUCUGAGAGGAAGGUCCCCCACAUUGGAACUGAGACACGGUCCAAACUCCUACGGGAGGCAGCAGUGAGGAAUAUUGGUCAAUGGGCGGGAGCCUGAACCAGCCAAGUAGCGUGAAGGAUGACGGCCCUACGGGUUGUAAACUUCUUUUAUAAGGGAAUAAAGUUCGCCACGUGUGGUGUUUUGUAUGUACCUUAUGAAUAAGCAUCGGCUAAUUCCGUGCCAGCAGCCGCGGUAAUACGGAAGAUGCGAGCGUUAUCCGGAUUUAUUGGGUUUAAAGGGAGCGUAGGCGGGCUUUUAAGUCAGCGGUCAAAUGCCACGGCUCAACCGUGGCCAGCCGUUGAAACUGCAAGCCUUGAGUCUGCACAGGGCACAUGGAAUUCGUGGUGUAGCGGUGAAAUGCUUAGAUAUCACGAAGAACUCCGAUCGCGAAGGCAUUGUGCCGGGGCAGCACUGACGCUGAGGCUCGAAAGUGCGGGUAUCAAACAGGAUUAGAUACCCUGGUAGUCCGCACGGUAAACGAUGAAUGCUCGCUAUGGGCGAUACAAUGUCCGUGGCCAAGCGAAAGCGUUAAGCAUUCCACCUGGGGAGUACGCCGGCAACGGUGAAACUCAAAGGAAUUGACGG
rnacentral:rRNA from 1 species